ACAUGCCUACAACAUAGCAUUAAUGCAUCAGAUCCCAUUAGAAAUCCACAGUUAAGCGUGCUCAGGCUAGAGUAGUACUGGGAUGGGUGAUCACCUGGGAAGUCCUAGUAUUUUACAUGCC
rnacentral:rRNA from 1 species